AAAUGUGCAACAUGUGAAUUCAAAAAAAGCACCAAAUUCUAGGACUCCUACAAUAAGAGAACAAUACGCCAUGAAGAGAUAUUAUCAGUUCUGACUUGUGUGCUCACUGCCUGAAGUGUGAUUGAUCACCAGGAAAUCAAGUUACUCUCCUGAGAGUUUCUGCAGAUUACUCCCCAGCCUUCCCUCACCCUCUGUGCUGCUGUGCUCCUGUGGGACAUGAAGGUACUGGCACAGCAUGAAUGAGACACAGCCUAGCCCAUG